GAUGAACGCUGACAGAAUGCUUAACACAUGCAAGUCGACUCGAGUCUUCGGACUUGGGUGGCGCACGGGUGAGUAACGCGUAAAGAACUUGCCUCUUAGACCGGGACAACAUCUGGAAACGGAUGCUAAUACCGGAUAUUAUGGUUUUUUCGCAUGGAGGAAUCAUGAAAGCUAGAUGCGCUAAGAGAGAGCUUUGCGUCCCAUUAGCUAGUUGGUGAGGUAACGGCCCACCAAGGCAAUGAUGGGUAGCCGGCCUGAGAGGGUGAACGGCCACAAGGGGACUGAGACACGGCCCUUACUCCUACGGGAGGCAGCAGUGGGGAAUAUUGGACAAUGGACCACAAGUCUGAUCCAGCAAUUCUGUGUGCACGAUGACGUUUUUCGGAAUGUAAAGUGCUUUCAGUCGGGAAGAAGUCAGUGACGGUACCGACAGAAGAAGCGACGGCUAAAUACGUGCCAGCAGCCGCGGUAAUACGUAUGUCGCAAGCGUUAUCCGGAUUUAUUGGGCGUAAAGCGCGUCUAGGCGGCAAGGAAAGUCUGAUGUGAAAAUGCGGGGCUCAACUCCGUAUGACGUUGGAAACUGCCUUACUAGAGUACUGGAGAGGUAGGCGGAACUACAAGUGUAGAGGUGAAAUUCGUAGAUAUUUGUAGGAAUGCCGAUGGGGAAGCCAGCCUACUGGACAGAUACUGACGCUAAAGCGCGAAAGCGUGGGUAGCAAACAGG
rnacentral:rRNA from 1 species